GAGCCUGACACCCAGCCUGCUACACCCUCUCUCAGGCAGCUGUAGAGAGCAGCCCAAGCAAUCAAACGCAAACCUGUCACUACCAGGUUACCUAGCAACAUUCUGAUGUACCAAAAUUCUAGGGAAAUUAACUUGGAGGCAUUCUGUCAACUCUGUCUAGACAGAAGAGAAAAAGGAGGAGUCAGGGAACUAUAAUCCAGUCAACUCUAGUCCAUUCACAGAAAAACACUGGAAAAAAAUGCCAAUUUGCCAACAUCUACGAAGUCUCAAAAGGACAUUCAAGUGAAAUGAUUCACCCAGAAAACCUCCAUAAAAGCAUGGAAAAUAAUGGAAACAAAGUCUGAAGAAGACAGAGCACUGUGGGAGUGGCUGUGAGAACGAGAAUAUUAAUUCAUGUUGCAUUUAGUAUCAGCCUUUAAUAUUAUUAUUAUCUGAAGUACUAA